rnacentral:misc_RNA from 1 species
UCUCCGUUGGUGAACCAGCGGAGGAAUCAUUACCGAGUUUACAACUCCCAAACCCACUGUGAACCUUACCUAUCGUUGCUUCGGCGGGAUCGCCCUGGCGCCUCGCGGCACCAGAUCUCAGGCGCCCGCCGGGGGCCCGAAACUCUUGUUUUUAUUAUCAGUGGUUUCUCUCCGCGUGGCACAAGCAAAAAUAAAUCAAAACUUUCAACAACGGAUCUCUUGGUUCUG